CUUGCGGCCAUAUCACGUUGAAACAUUGUUUCCCGUGCGAUCACCGAAAUUAAGCAACGCAGAGCCUGGUCACCAUCUACAUGGGUGACCACUUAGAAAUACCUGGUGCUGUCUG